UACGAAGGGGGCUAGCGUUGCUCGGAAUUACUGGGCGUAAAGCGCACGUAGGCGGAUUGUUAAGUCGGGGGUGAAAUCCCGGAGCUCAACUCCAGAACUGCCUUCGAUACUGGCGAUCUAGAGUCCGGGAGAGGUGAGUGGAACUGCGAGUGUAGAGGUGAAAUUCGUAGAUAUUCGCAAGAACACCAGUGGCGAAGGCGGCUCACUGGCCCGGUACUGACGCUGAGGUGCGAAAGCGUGGGGAGCAAACAGG
rnacentral:rRNA from 1 species